UUAUUCAUAUUUAUUUGUAUGGAAAAAGAGAGCUUUAUGUUUAUUGAUCAAAAUAUUUAUAAUUAAUUUGAAAAUUAUCAGAAUAGCCAUUUUAAAAGAUUCGUAAAUUGGUUAUUACGUAAUACUAUACGGUUUGUUACGUAAUACUAUAAGGUUUUAUAUUAUUAUUCGGAAUUAUUUGUCAGAAAACGAUGGAUAUAUCUUUUGUCUUACUAUGAUCGAGCCAGUGGGUUUAACGUUAACUGAAAAAUAAUAUUAUCAAUAUGUGUAAUAGAUUGCACAAUUAAAAAAAUAUUCAAUA